UCAUUUGACGUUAGCUGCAGAAGAAGCACCGGCUAACUCCGUGCCAGCAGCCGCGGUAAUACGGAGGGUGCGAGCGUUAAUCGGAAUUACUGGGCGUAAAGCGCAUGCAGGUGGUUUGUUAAGUCAGAUGUGAAAGCCCGGGGCUCAACCUCGGAAUUGCAUUUGAAACUGGCAAACUAGAGUACUGUAGAGGGGGUAGGAAUUUCAGGUGUAGCGGUGAAAUGCGUAGAGAUCUGAAGGAAUACCGGUGGCGAAGGCGGCCCCCUGGACAGAUACUGACACUCCAGAUGCGAAAGCGUCGGGGAGCAAACAGGAUUAGAUACCCUGGUAG
rnacentral:rRNA from 1 species